UACAGAGGGUGCAAGCGUUAAUCGGAUUUACUGGGCGUAAAGCGCGCGUAGGUGGCCAAUUAAGUCAAAUGUGAAAUCCCCGAGCUUAACUUGGGAAUUGCAUUCGAUACUGGUUGGCUAGAGUAUGGGAGAGGAUGGUAGAAUUCCAGGUGUAGCGGUGAAAUGCGUAGAGAUCUGGAGGAAUACCGAUGGCGAAGGCAGCCAUCUGGCCUAAUACUGACACUGAGGUGCGAAAGCAUGGGGAGCAAACAGGA
rnacentral:rRNA from 1 species